AAAAAAAGGUAAGGCCGAAGGCCCAUGAAAUUUCUACAUAAUCUGAAAAAUGUCGUGGUAAAGCCCUCUUUCUAAAUUCUACCCCAACUAUAUAAAUGUAAUUAGUCUUGAUCUUUGUCCUUCUCUUCCAUACUUUCCCUAUUUAUUUGCUUCGCCAUAUUCCUUUUCUGUUGCUGCUUGAACUCCCAGUUCUUUCUUCUUUGAUUUUGGGUGAUUAAUGACUUUCCCGAUGAGAUGGUGAUGAUCUUCCUCACAAAAGUGUUGCCAAAACACCAAGGUGGUUGGGUUGUUUCUGAGGGGAAGUUGAAGGAGGAAACGUCCGGAGUUCACAGCUCUUCAACAAGUAUCUUAUGUUCUCUUUCUGUUUUUUCCAUUCUACAUGGUCGAUUUUAACACCAUUUUGUGUUCUUCUAGAUGAGUACUGGAGUUGUCUUUUCCAUUGCCAAUCUGUGCUUGUGGUUGACCUACAAUGCUGACAGAAUGAUAUGACGCAGUUUUACUUUAUUUUUGGUGAUAAAUUUUAUGAGCUAACAUAGUUUAGCCUAUCUGAUUUAACAGCUAUAAUAUUCCAUGUAUAGGAAACUGAUCUAUUAUAAAUUUUGUUAUUGCUCAGAA